ensembl:lncRNA
CUUCUCCGUCCUGAAACGCGUUCGUUUUCCUGCAGGGGCCGUUCUCGGCUUUUAAUUAAUUGCUGAUUAAUUACGUGUAAUUACAGAUAUAUAUAUAUACUGUGUAAUUAUCUGAGCUGCUGCGGCCCCUCCAUCCUUUCGCUCCGCUCCGCCGCUCCCUACGCAGCCGGGGCGGAUCCAAACGGCGCUCUGCCAUUGGCUGAGCGCUCUCGGCGCGGGCCAAUCAGCGAGCGCCCUUUGGAGCCGCUCGUUAUGACUCAGCCUCUCCUUUCCAGCCAAUCAGAGGCUGCUAAAUGGAUCCUUCAUUUGCAUAUCUUGCCCCCUUGUUGUCUCCCCAAUACCCCCCCCUGUGCCCCCAUAGACCCCCACGUGUCCCUAUUGCCACCUCCUGUGUCCCCGAAUGUCACCUCAGUGUCCCCAUGGACCCCCAUAUGUCCCUAUCACUGUACCCAUAGACCCCCACGUGUCCCUAUUGCCACCUCCAGUGUCCCUAUAGACCCCCAAGUGUCCCUAUCACUGCCCCCAUAGACCCCCAUGUGUCCCUAUUGCCACCCCCAAUGUCCCCUCUGUCACCUCCAAUGUCCCCAUGGACCCCCAUAUGUCCCUAUCACUGUCCCCAUAGACCCCCAUAUGUCCCUAUUGUCACCUCCAGUGUCCCCACAGACCCCCACGUGUCCCUCCUGUGUCCCCAAAUGUCCCCUCUGUCACCUCCAAUGUCCCCAUAGACCCCGAUAUGUCCCUAUCACUGUCCCCAUGGACCCCCACGUGUCCCUAUUGUCACCUCCUGUGUCCCCUCUGUCACCUCAGUGUCCCCAUGGACCCCCAUUUAUCCCUAUCACUGUCCCCAUAGACCACCACGUGUCCCUAUUGCCACCCCCAAUGUCCCCUCUGUCACCUCCAGCAUCCCCAUAGACCCCCAAGUGUCCCCAUCACUGUCCCCAUAGACCCCCACAUGUCCCUAUUGCCACCUCCUGUGUCCCCUCUGUCACCUCAGUGUCCCCAUGGACCCCCAUUUAUCCCUAUCACUGCCCCCAUAGACCACCACGUGUCCCUAUUGCCACCCCCAAUGUCCCCUCUGUCACCUCCAGCAUCCCCAUAGACCCCCAUGUGUCCCUAUCACUGUCCCCAUAGACCCCCACGUGUCCCUAUUGUCACCUCCAGUGUCCCUAUUGUCACCUCAAUGUCCCCAUGGACCCCCAUUUAUCCCUAUCACUGCCCCCAUAGACCCCCAUGUGUCCCUAUUGCCACCCCCAAUGUCCCCUCUGUCACCUCCAAUGUCCCCAUGGACCCCCAUAUGUCCCUAUCACUGUCCCCAUAGACCCCCACGUGUCCCUAUUGCCACCUCCUGUGCCCCCCAAUGCCCCCCCAUAGACCCCCAAUGUCCCCCUCUCCUCUAUGCCCCCCCAUACAUACACGGGUGUGAUCUCCCCUGUUUACGUCCCCCCCCCCAAACACGCGUGUCCUUCUCAUGUCCCUCCCGUGUGCACACGUGUGUGCCGCCCACAUGUACCUGUGUGCCUAUAUAUGAGCCCCCCAUACACACGUGUACCCACAUAUGUGCCCCCCCCAUGCACACGUGUGCCCACAUACGUGCCUCCUAUGCACAUGGAUACCCACAUAUGUGCCCCUAUGUACAUGUGUGCCCAUACAUGUGCCCCCCCCUGCACACGUGUACCCACAUAUGAGCCCCCUAUGGACACUCGUGCCCAUAUAUGUGUCCCCCUAUGGACACGUGUACCACAUAUGUGACCCCCAUGCGCAUGGAUACCCACAUAUAUGCCCCCAUGUACAUGUGUUCCCAUAUAUGAGCCCCCCAUACACACGUGUACCCACAUAUGAGCCCCCCUAUGGACACGUGUACCCACAUAUGUGCCCCCCAUGCACACAUCUGCCCACAUAUGAGCCCCCCAUAUACCCGUGUGCCCCCAUUUGUGCCCCCCAUGGAUGUGUGCACCUAUAUAUGUGCCCCCCCUCUGCAUACGUAUACCCACAUAUGUGCCCCCUAUGGACACGUGUACACAUAUAGGAGCCCCCCAUGGACAUGUGUACCCACAUAUAUACCCCCUAUGGACACGUAUACCCAUAUAGAAGCCCCCCAUGGACACGUGUGCCCAUAUAUGUGCCCCCCCCUCACACGUGUGCCCACAUAUGAGCCCCCCAUGCACACGUGUACCCACAUAUGAGCCCCCCAUGGACACGUGUACCCACAUAUGUGCCCCCUAUGGACACAUAUACCCAUAUAGGAGCCCCCCAUGGACACGUGUACCCACAUAUGUGCCCCCCUCCCACACGUGUGCCCCUAUAUGAGCCCCCCAUACACACAUAUGCACCCCCUAUGGACACGUGUGCCCACCUACGCGCCCCCCCACGCACACCCACCCCCCCUCACACC